AGUUAAGCCCACAACAAUACUUUUCUCUGAUACCCCCACAGGAUCCAACAUGGCGCCAGUCACCUAUGUGUCACUAAUUAAUUAAACAAAUUGAGAAGAAACCUGGGAAGGGAAAGGAGGCAGGAAGCAGAGAAAAACAAUCCUUAAAAUCUGUUUCCGAUACCAUCAGGGAAAUUGUGGAGAAAGCAAGGAAGGCUUUGCCCCUGGGAAACAGGCUGGACUACCUGGAGGCCUCUCCUGCCUGGACAGAGGCGGCCAUGUGAAAGGCAUCAGGGAGUAACCCUUCUGCCAGAGAACACAACAGAAGACACUCUGCGGAAAUAUAAAUAAAUAUCCACAUGUGUAU
rnacentral:lncRNA from 1 species